GGGGUUGUAGCUCAGUGGUAGAGCACUUGCCUAGCAUGAGUGAGGUUCAAUCCUCAGCACCA
rnacentral:tRNA from 1 species